GCUAAAGCAGUAUGAUUUUUUUUUUUUUUGGUGAAGUUGAUACUCUUCUCUAUUUUCCUGCACAGGGUAUGAGGGCCCAUUGACCAGCACUUGCUUAGUAGUUUACAAGGUAACAAUAGAGAAGCAGGUCAAGGAGAAGCACAUUGACAUGGGACUGUGGAUGGAGGCUUGAGCUAUCUGUGACUGACUUAGCGUAUUCUCCCGAGGAAGCCCGUGAGUGUUUGUGGCAGGGCCUGGAAAGUACUGAGUGUUGUGUCGACAGAGCGCGUCUACAGUUGGCAGCAUAAGGGAGCUGAGGAAAGAGUGUGAUGUGUCCUGCUGUGAGCACAGGAAGCCUCCCCAACACAGCAAACGGGAGGACAAAGAAAGGCGAAGUACAACUUCAACAGUGCAAGGUCAGCACGGAGUCCUGGCUUUUGAGUCCGGGAUUUGGAAGCAAGGGAAGAAUUCAGACAUAUUAAUUUGGAGAAGACUGUACAAUAAUGAAGCCUUCCAACCCAUAAAG
rnacentral:lncRNA from 1 species